GUGCCUCAGUGGUAGAACAUCUGCUUUGCAUGCAGAAGGUCUCAGGUUCAAUCCUGGCACCUCCA